rnacentral:rRNA from 1 species
AGGACGAACGCUGGCGGCGUGCUUAACACAUGCAAGUCGAACGGAAAGGCCCUGCUUUUGUGGGGUGCUCGAGUGGCGAACGGGUGAGUAACACGUGAGUAACCUGCCCUUGACUUUGGGAUAACUUCAGGAAACUGGGGCUAAUACCGGAUAGGAGCUCCUGCUGCAUGGUGGGGGUUGGAAAGUUUCGGCGGUUGGGGAUGGACUCGCGGCUUAUCAGCUUGUUGGUGGGGUAGUGGCUUACCAAGGCUUUGACGGGUAGCCGGCCUGAGAGGGUGACCGGCCACAUUGGGACUGAGAUACGGCCCACACUCCUACGGGAGGCAGCAGUGGGGAAUAUUGCACAAUGGGCGGAAGCCUGAUGCAGCAACGCCGCGUGCGGGAUGACGGCCUUCGGGUUGUAAACCGCUUUCGCCUGUGACGAAGCGUGAGUGACGGUAAUGGGUAAAGAAGCACCGGCUAACUACGUGCCAGCAGCCGCGGUGAUACGUAGGGUGCGAGCGUUGUCCGGAUUUAUUGGGCGUAAAGGGCUCGUAGGUGGUUGAUCGCGUCGGAAGUGUAAUCUUGGGGCUUAACCCUGAGCGUGCUUUCGAUACGGGUUGACUUGAGGAAGGUAGGGGAGAAUGUAAUUCCUGGUGGAGCGGUGGAAUGCGCAGAUAUCAGGAGGAACACCAGUGGCGAAGGCGGUUCUCUGGGCCUUUCCUGACGCUGAGGAGCGAAAGCGUGGGGAGCGAACAGGCUUAGAUACCCUGGUAGUCCACGCUGUAAACGGUGGGUACUAGGUGUGGGGUCCAUUCCACGGGUUCCGUGCCGUAGCUAACGCUUUAAGUACCCCGCCUGGGGAGUACGGCCGCAAGGCUAAAACUCAAAGGAAUUGACGGGGCCCCGCACAAGCGGCGGAGCAUGCGGAUUAAUUCGAUGCAACGCGUAGAACCUUACCUGGGUUUGACAUGGAUCGGGAGUGCUCAGAGAUGGGUGUGCCUCUUUUGGGGUCGGUUCACAGGUGGUGCAUGGCUGUCGUCAGCUCGUGUCGUGAGAUGUUGGGUUAAGUCCCGCAACGAGCGCAACCCUUGUUCACUGUUGCCAGCACGUUAUGGUGGGGACUCAGUGGAGACCGCCGGGGUCAACUCGGAGGAAGGUGGGGAUGACGUCAAGUCAUCAUGCCCCUUAUGUCCAGGGCUUCACGCAUGCUACAAUGGCUGGUACAGAGAGUGGCGAGCCUGUGAGGGUGAGCGAAUCUCGGAAAGCCGGUCUCAGUUCGGAUUGGGGUCUGCAACUCGACCUCAUGAAGUCGGAGUCGCUAGUAAUCGCAGAUCAGCAACGCUGCGGUGAAUACGUUCCCGGGGCUUGUACACACCGCCCGUCAAGUCAUGAAAGUUGGUAACACCCGAAGCCGGUGGCCUAACCGUUGUGGGGGAGCCGUCGAAGGUGGGACUGGUGAUU